AAUGAACGCUGGCGGCGUGCCUAACACAUGCAAGUCGUACGAGAAAUCCCGAGCUUGCUUGGGAGAGUAAAGUGGCGCACGGGUGAGUAACGCGUGGGUAACCCACCUUCGAAUUUGGGAUAACUCCGCGAAAGCGGUGCUAAUACCGGAUAAGACCACAGCCGUUUCGGCGGCAGAGGUAAAAGCUGACCUCUCCAUGGAAGUUAGCGUUCGAGGACGGGCCCGCGUCCUAUCAGCUUGUUGGUGGGGUAAAAGCCUACCAAGGCAGCGACGGGUAGCUGGUCUGAGAGGAUGAUCAGCCACACUGGAACUGGAACACGGUCCAGACUCCUACGGGAGGCAGCAGUGAGGAAUUUUGCGCAAUGGGGGAAACCCUGACGCAGCAACGCCGCGUGGGUGAAGAAGGCUUUCGGGUCGUAAAGCCCUGUCAGGUGGGAAGAAACUCUUCAGUACUAAUAAUGCUGAAGCCUGACGGUACCACCAGAGGAAGCACCGGCCAACUCCGUG
rnacentral:rRNA from 1 species